rnacentral:rRNA from 1 species
GGAAUUGACGGGGAGCACCACAACGGGUGGAGCUUGCGGUUUAAUUGGAUUCAACGCCGGAAAUCUUACCGGGACCGACAGCAAUAUGAAGGCCAGGCUGAAGACUUUGCCGGAUUAGCCGAGAGGUGGUGCAUGGCCGUCGUCAGUUCGUACUGUGAAGCAUCCUGUUAAGUCAGGCAACGAGCGAGACCCACGCCCACAGUUGCCAGCGUACUCUCUGGAGUGACGGGUACACUGUGGGGACCGCCGCUGCUAAAGCGGAGGAAGGAAUGGGCAACGGUAGGUCAGUAUGCCCCGAAUAUCCCGGGCUACACGCGAGCUACAAUGGUUGGUACAAUGGGUAUCUACCCCGAAAGGGGACGGGAAUCUCCUAAAACCAAUCUUAGUUCGGAUUGAGGGCUGCAACUCGCCCUCAUGAAGCUGGAAUCCGUAGUAAUCGCGUUUCAACAGAACGCGGUGAAUACGUCCCUGCUCCUU